rnacentral:rRNA from 1 species
AGCAGCCGCGGUAAUUCCAGCUCCAAUAGCGUAUAUUAAAGUUGCUGCAGUUAAAAAGCUCGUAGUUGGAUUUCUGGCUUGAAACAUCUUGCCGGCCACGGUUUCGUGUGUUAGUGCUUGAUGUUCUGGCCAUCCUUCCAAUCGCUGUACGUUUCUCUUCAUUGAUUAGCGUAUGGUAUUGGAUCUUUUACUUUGAAAAAAU